rnacentral:misc_RNA from 1 species
CAGAGUUAUCCAACUCCCAAACCCAUGUGAACUUAUCUCUUUGUUGCCUCCGGCGCAAGCUACCCGGGACCUCGCGCCCCGGGCGGCCCGCCGGCGGACAAACCAAAACUCUUGUUAUCUUAGUUGAUUAUCUGAGUGUCUUAUUUAAUAAGUCA